CUCCUACGGGAGGCAGCAGUGGGGAAUUUUCCGCAAUGGGCGAAAGCCUGACGGAGCAAGACCGCGUGAGGGAAGACGGCCUACUGGUUGUAAACCUCUUUUGAUAGGGAAGAACACAAUGACGGUACCUAUGGAAUCAGCCUCGGCUAACUCCGUGCCAGCAGCCGCGGUAAUACGGAGGAGGCAAGCGUUAUCCGGAAUUAUUGGGCGUAAAGCGUCCGUAGGUGGAUAGUCAAGUCAGUUGUCAAAGCGUGGAGCUUAACUCCAUACGGGCAAUUGAAACUGAUUAUCUAGAGUGCGAUAGGGGCAAGGGGAAUUCCCAGUGUAGCGGUGAAAUGCGUAGAUAUUGGGAAGAACAUCGGUGGCGAAAGCGCCUUGCUGGGUCUGCACUGACACUGAUGACGAAAGCUAGGGGAGCGAAUGGGAUUACCCUGUA
rnacentral:rRNA from 1 species